AAUGGCAUGAGAGAGGAGAAGCAGGCAGAAGCCAGAAGUAGAAGAAGCAGGUUUUACUGGAACACUGGUCUCCUGUGAAAAGGCUCACCACCUUCACUAUUCAUAUCAUCUGCUGGUAUUCAAUCCAGCAUCAAUAGUAUACUACUAACUUGUGCUUUAAAUGAGUUAAGGAAGAAAAUUUGAUUGUACAAGUUCCCUUAAACCACAGACACAUGAGCAGCGUUUGUUAGUGGUUUACAGAAAUACCCAUGUGGUUAUAGACACUGUGCUUAAUAAAACACGUUUGGAAACAGA